AGGGUUUGAUCAUGGCUCAGGAUGAACGCUGGCGGCGUGCUUAACACAUGCAAGUCGAACGAACCUUCGGGUUAGUGGCGGACGGGUGAGUAACGCGUGAGAAUCUGCCCUCAGGAGGGGGAUAACGGUUGGAAACGACCGCUAAUACCCCAUAUGCCUAUUGGUGAAAUGAAUUUCGCCUGAGGAUGAGCUCGCGUCUGAUUAGCUAGUUGGUGAGGUAAUGGCUCACCAAGGCUUCGAUCAGUAGCUGGUCUGAGAGGAUGAUCAGCCACACUGGGACUGAGACACGGCCCAGACUCCUACGGGAGGCAGCAGUGGGGAAUUUUCCGCAAUGGGCGAAAGCCUGACGGAGCAACGCCGCGUGAGGGACGAAGGCCUCUGGGCUGUAAACCUCUUUUCUCAAGGAAGAAGAUAUGACGGUACUUGAGGAAUAAGCCACGGCUAAUUCCGUGCCAGCAGCCGCGGUAAUACGGGAGUGGCAAGCGUUAUCCGGAAUUAUUGGGCGUAAAGCGUCCGCAGGCGGCUUUUCAAGUCUGCUGUUAAAGCGUGGAGCUUAACUCCAUCAUGGCAGUGGAAACUGAAAGGCUUGAGUAUGGUAGGGGCAGAGGGAAUUCCCGGUGUAGCGGUGAAAUGCGUAGAUAUCGGGAAGAACACCAGUGGCGAAGGCGCUCUGCUGGGCCAUUACUGACGCUCAUGGACGAAAGCCAGGGGAGCGAAAGGGAUUAGAUACCCCUGUAGUCCUGGCCGUAAACGAUGAACACUAGGUGUCGGGGGAAUCGACCCCUUCGGUGUCGUAGCUAACGCGUUAAGUGUUCCGCCUGGGGAGUACGCACGCAAGUGUGAAACUCAAAGGAAUUGACAGGGGCCCGCACAAGCGGUGGAGUAUGUGGUUUAAUUCGAUGCAACGCGAAGAACCUUACCAGGGUUUGACAUCCUGCGAACCUCUUAGAAAUUUGAGGGUGCCUUCGGGAAUGCAGUGACAGGUGGUGCAUGGCUGUCGUCAGCUCGUGUCGUGAGAUGUUGGGUUAAGUCCCGCAACGAGCGCAACCCACGUUUUUAGUUGCCAGCAUUUAGUUGGGCACUCUAGAAAGACCGCCGGUGAUAAACCGGAGGAAGGUGUGGAUGACGUCAAGUCAUCAUGCCCCUUACACCCUGGGCUACACACGUACUACAAUGCUACGGACAAAGGGCAGCAAACUCGCGAGAGCUAGCAAAUCCCAUAAACCGUGGCUCAGUUCAGAUCGUAGGCUGCAACUCGCCUACGUGAAGUAGGAAUCGCUAGUAAUCGCAGGUCAGCAUACUGCGGUGAAUACGUUCCCGGGCCUUGUACACACCGCCCGUCACACCAUGGAAGUUGGCCAUGCCCGAAGUCGUUACUCCAACCCUUGUGGAGGAGGACGCCGAAGGUGGGGCUAAUGACUGGGGUGAAGUCGUAACAAGGUAGCCGUA
rnacentral:rRNA from 1 species